CAGGACCCUCCGGUCUCUAAAUAUGCAUGUGCACGUUUUUCAACUUGCAUUUUUCUUUCGUGACUCAAGAGAUAAUUUUUGAUGAUACCGUGCUGCAAGUUUUCAUAUUUACAAACCAAUGCAAUAUUAUCCGAGUUGUAGAAUGCUCCUUGAAAAAUGAUGAGCAAGGAAAAAUGUUUGACAUGUUCCUCGUGCAGUCCAUUUCUACAAAUCCCACGGAUUAAUACGUGCGUUGACAACUUGUUCUUCUAAUAUGGUGAUUAGAAAAAAAAAAAAAAAUAAGGAAAAACUUUGACGUCGUAAAAGUAUCAUUGACUUCUUGUUGAAAAGAUUAUGCAUUUCUACACGAACGAGUAUUUUUUGUGGUAUUGAAAGUUAAACAAGAAAAUAUCUGAGACACACUUCGAACGAAUCGACUAAGUAUGUUGCCUAUUGUGCUCCUUUCUUUACGGGGAAGCGGAGACACUCUCGAAGGAUGGUGGUUAUGGGAAAAAGAGUGCUUGAACACGGACGUUGGUCAGACUCCCGCGGUUCCAAUUACGAGUGAAAGGCGGCCCUGUUCGUUCGUCUCCUAUAACUGUGGACUCUUCAGGACUUCGUACGGGGUACCCUCUUACCCCCAUGACCACUUUUGAGUUUCAACACGCGUGUUUCCAUGGCAAAUGCUGCCAUUUCGUUGGAUUUUGAUCAUCGCUUAUCGUUCUACAAAAUAUUUCUACGUGAUAACAGUCUUAUAGAUUUUCUUGGAUCACUUUAAAAAAAUGUAUUUAAGAAAGUAUCUCUUUCA